UCUACUGUUUUUUAAAACGGGAAGGUUUUUUUUUUCUUCUGAUGUAUAGCAUAGUAGGAGGAUUAAAGCUCUAUAUCUAAACCAUCCAUUUUAUCGAAGGUGGACAGUUUUAUUUUCUCGCCUGUUUGGGUGAUUUCGCCUUCUCUGCGGAUCGGUUCUGGUGUUUGUAUCAGCUGCAUCUCUUUUGUUCCCCUGCCUAGUUUAUCCAGCCACAAUUGUCCUUCUUCUGUGUCACCUCUGCACAACUUGACAAUUCCAUAAAGGUUUGGCGAUGUUAGCAUAACAUAUCUGACUGUCGUUCGUGAAAUCCGAGCAGCUCUUGAGAUUAUAUCUCCAAGGUCGUCGUUUGGUAGUUCGUCAAGUGAGUAGGAGGUGUUUCAUAUCAUUUUGGUGAAGUUGGAAAGUAUAUUUUUUUAGUGUUUUCCCUUGGGUGAUUUAUAAGGCUUUUGCAAGUUCGUGAGAGACACGCAUGCAAUGAACCACUUCUUGACGGCCAGCUUUUGCAACUCUGGACAUAAUUUCGCCAAGAAGAUCUUGUGCGUCUAGGAUUUUCAAACCUGAGUUUGAAGUUAAACGGGAUAGAGCUACAUACAACUGCCCGUGCGUGAAGACUGAAUGUGGGUGAAAGGAUGCUUGCUGUCAUUAGGAGACAAAACAAUUCUUGGAAUGAGGACUUUUUCACCAACAUGGGUGCCCGUGAGAAUCUCUGCCUCGAUUAUCCUUUGCCCAAGUCGCGUGAUAAGUAGCCGCGUUCCAUUGCAUAACCCUUUUCUCUGGUUUAGAUUUCAUAGGAGCAUUACUGGUAGACCUUCUUUCAACCUUAUCUGAUGGUUUGGUAGGCCUGGAAACUCAAGUGAGUUAAAAUAUUUAACUGUGUAUAAGUUGUUCCAGUCGCCUCCUGGUGCCAGCUCUGUUUGAAUUGAAUCUGAGCUUAAAUACUCUGUAAUGUCACCUGCCACUUUUGAUAGCUGAUAAUCAUUUAUUUCGAGUA